ensembl:ncRNA lncRNA:CR45568 long non-coding RNA:CR45568
UUGUGAAUGAUUCGCUCACUUUGUGCCGCCAGUUAUUUACUAAUGAGAGCUAAUUGAGUUUAAAAUGCUACUAAAAGGAUAUACUUUCGGUUCUGGAUCUGCUGAUUUGAAGGGCCUACAUUUGCGCAACUGGGUGGCUGUGGUGGUCUGGAGGACUAUAACGGUAGCCCAACUGGAGCAGCAAAUGCCGCACGCAUUUCGGUAAAUGAAAUUUAACAAAAGUCAAGCCGCCCGAGAAGAACUACAAUUACAAGCCACGAAGAUUUGUGCAGCUGUCAGUCAAUGGGAAGAUGGCAUAUCGCCCCUCGAUUCUCGAUUCUUACGGGGAUCUCGAAAUAAGUGACUGUUGAUGAGCAUUGUGCAGCAGGAUCGCCCCAAUUUGCCGCAGUGCUGACAAACAGCUAGGAGCUGAAAACUCAAAACUGAGACGCCCCCUAAAAUGAUACCCACUAUUUUUAGAUACCCCAAAUGGAGCAGAAGAUGCAAGGAAACCACUUCCGGUUUGGCGCGUGCUCGAAACCGAAACAAAAACCGAGAACUUGAAGUGAAAAUCAAACUAAUUUCUGUUAAUUACUGCAGUCAAUGACCGCGACGAAAACUGGAUACUUUCGGCGACUCUCCGGCUUUUCAUAAAUUAUGAAACUUUAAUGACGCCACUGACAUUUAUAGGCCCGCAGGCAAGUUGGCAAAAUAGGUCAAGCCAAGCGAUAAAUGAUGACGCAGCAUCCCAAAU